CCCAUUGGGGCGGGCUACACAUGCAGUCGAGCGGCAGCGGGGAGUAGCUUGCUACUUUGCCGGCGAGCGGCGGACGGGUGAGUAAUGCUUGGGAACUUGCCUUUAGGAGGGGGAUAACCACGGGAAACUGUGGCUAAUACCGCAUAAUGUCUACGGACCAAAGCGGGGGCUCUUCGGACCUCGCACCUAAAGAUAGGCCCAAGUGAGAUUAGCUAGUUGGUGGGGUAAAGGCCCACCAAGGCGACGAUCUCUAGCUGUUCUGAGAGGAUGAUCAGCCACACUGGGACUGAGACACGGCCCAGACUCCUACGGGAGGCAGCAGUGGGGAAUAUUGCACAAUGGGGGAAACCCUGAUGCAGCCAUGCCGCGUGUGUGAAGAAGGCCUUCGGGUUGUAAAGCACUUUCAGUGGUGAGGAAGGCUUGUAGGUUAAUAGCCUGCAAGAUUGACGUUAGCCACAGAAGAAGCACCGGCUAACUCCGUGCCAGCAGCCGCGGUAAU
rnacentral:rRNA from 1 species